GGGGAGAGGCUGUGGCUCAGUGAUAGAACAUCUGCUUCAUGUGCAAAAGGUAUUGUGUUCAAUCCCCAACAUCCCCA